UAGCUUCUAUAGCAAAGACCCCCUUAUAGUUAGAAGUAAGAAGUAAUAUAGACCACUGAUUUUAGUUAAAUCAACGUUCCAGAUUUACUUCCAUCAUCGGCUUUAUUAAUUAAAAUUAGUACUGAAAAUUGGGUUCAUACGAAGAAGGGCUAAAAACGUCAAAUUCAUUACUUUGGUGAUAUGGAAUUCCAAUCAAAUCCCGGUAGUAUCUCGCCUUCCUUCCAGAUGUCGAUUGAACAAGAUCUCUUUGAAUUUGAUUCAAAGGUUUGUUCAGAAGGGUUUGUCUACGCACUCUUUUUCCAUCUCCCCAUCUUGUUUGACUGUUAUCACCAUGGAGCGGCGAAAAGAAACAGCAAGGAUUAACGUUCACGAGCUGAGGCAGAAGAACAAGGUGGAGCUGCUGGCGUAGCUGAAGGAUCCGAAGGCAGAGCUGGCGCUGCUGCGGGCGGCGAAGAUGAUCGGCGGCGCUCCGAACAAGCUGUCGAAGAUCAAGGUGGUUAGGUUGUCGAUUGCACAGGUAGUUCAUCACCUCACGAACUGAUAUAUCAAUAUCAUGUUCACAUAUGUGCAGAACGACGUUCAAGAAAAAUAGCGUGAAUGUUCAAAAGACGCAUACCUAAUACAUGUUAAUUUGAUUUUUUUUUUUUGUUAGUUUUGUGUUAUAACUUGUUGUGUAUCUAUUCCAUUGCAAGCAUUUUCUUAAUUGAUAGAUAUUAAUCAUCCAAUAGGCUGCAGUGUGCAUAUGUCAGAGCGUGUAGGAAGCCAUUUUCAUUGUGUUGUAUAGCUUUGUUGUUGUGUUUCCAAACAAUAUUUUGUAUUUCCUUUUUGUAUCACUUGGAAUCAAUUCUUUUUGAGUGAUUUAUCCAAGAUUUGGUUUUCAUUUA